rfam:Xiphophorus maculatus strain JP 163 A Contig2887.1, whole genome shotgun sequence.
GUGGGCUACGGGGACAUGGUUCCGAUGACGGUUGUGGGAAAGUUGGUUGGGUCCAUGUGCGCCAUUGCGGGUGUGCUCACCAUCUCCUUGCCGGUUCCCGUCAUCGUUUCAAAC